UCCAGUGUUACGUAAUAGUUGAACGAUCCCCAAAUAAUGUACCGGAUAGUUUCAAUUAAUUAUGCACUUUUAUGGACCAUAUCGACGAUCGAACUCUGCCUCUCUGAUUUUAUGUUUCACUCAAUCUAGUAGUCCUUCAAAGAAGGCACUUUUAUCAGCCAAAAAAAAAACACCUCAGCUACAGAACGAUAAUGUACUGUCGGUCGGAUCGCAAAACCACAAAAUUGCGGUCAGCAGCGAAUCGUUUUGCAUGACAAAACAACAUUUUGUCGCAUUGCCACUCUGGCCAAAGUUCUCACAGCAAAAUACAGUGUCCGCUAAAGAUCCACCACACCCGAUACCGGCCAACACGUGACGAUGCGAAAACCGGAUUAACGAAACGAGACACCGAAGAAAACGAUUAAACUCUGCGCCGGUGGUGAGCCGGUGGAACACAAAGCAGGGUGGAAAAGCAAAGGCGCAGAACAUUAAAGGGCAGAAGCGUUUUACAUUCGCUCUUGUUUUCUUGUGUGGAUUUCGUUUUUUUUCAGCCGCUUCUACACAUACAAUGCACCGUAAAGUGCAAGUGCACUUGGAGAAAAAAUUGAACAUUAUUUUAUUUUACCAAAAACAUGAACCUUUUGCAUCUAUUAACCUGAACGGUGAAAAGAAACCAUAAAAACCAUUUCUUCAAACGGCAAAGAUUAAAAAAACACACACAAAAAAGCUUUAUCAAUGGCAAA